rnacentral:rRNA from 1 species
GACGAACGCUGGCGGCGUGCUUAACACAUGCAAGUCGAGCGGAGCGGCGAACGGGUGAGUAACGCGUGAGUAACUGCCCCCCUCCCUGGGAUAACAGUUGGAAACGGCUGCUAAUACCGGAUAGUGGGGGAUGACUCGCGUCCGAUCAGCUUGUUGGUGGGGUAGGGGCCUACCAAGGCGACGACGGGUAGCCGGCCUGAGAGGGCGACCGGCCACAUUGGGCUGAGAUACGGCCCAAACUCCUACGGGAGGCAGCAGUGGGGAAUAUUGCACAAUGGGGGAAACCCGGACGCAGCCAGGCCGCGUGAAUGAAGAAGGCCUGCGGGUUGUAAAGUUCUUUCGGUAGCGAGGGGUUAAUAAACUAAGUGAUUGACGUUAACUACAGAAGAAGCACCGGCUAACUCCGUGCCAGCCGCCGCGGUAAUAC